CGGGCGAGGUGCCGGUCUAAGUCCCUUGGAACGGGGCGUCAUAGAGGGUGAGAAUCCCGUAUGCGACCGGCGUCCGAGCCCAUGUGAAACCCCUUCGACGAGUCGAGUUGUUUGGGAAUGCAGCUCAAAACGGGUGGUAAAUUUCAUCUAAAGCUAAAUACCGGCCAGAGACCGAUAGCGCACAAGUAGAGUGAUCGAAAGAUGAAAAGCACUUUGGAAAGAGAGUCAAAAAGUACGUGAAAUUGUUGAAAGGGAAGCGCUUGCGACCAGACCUGCCCGCGGGUGAUCAGCCGUCCUUCUGGGCGGUGCACUCGCCCGCGAUCAGGCCAGCAUCGGUUCGGGCGGUCGGAUAAAGGCCUUGGGAACGUGGCUCCCCUCGGGGAGUGUUAUAGCCCUCGGUGCAAUGCGGCCUGCCCGGACCGAGGACCGCGCUUCGGCUAGGAUGCUGGCGUAAUGGUCGUAAGCGGCCCGUCUUGAAACACGGACCAAGGAGUCGACCAACUAUGCGAGUGUUUGGGCGUCAAACCCACACGCGCAAUGAAAGUGAACGGAGGUGGGAACCCCUCGCGGGGCGCACCAUCGACCGAUCCAGAUGUCUUCGGAUGGAUUUGAGUACGAGCAUAGCUGGUCGGACCCGAAAGAUGAUGAACUAUGCCUGAAUAGGGUGAAGCCAGAGGAAACUCUGGUGGAGGCUCGCAGCGGUUCUGACGUGCAAAUCGAUCGUCAAAUUUGGGCAUAGGGGCGAAAGACUAAUCGAAUCAUC
rnacentral:rRNA from 2 species